AGUUCUCUGCACGAAUACCGAGAGAAAACGAACGGGUGUUCUUCGUGUUCUUCAUAAUCAAACAAGGAUUUGAAGGCGUUAUUGGAAUCCGAUGGAGGCGUAUAAAUAGUCAAAACGAAGCUCUCGACGCGUAGAAUCUAUUGUAGUUAUCCAUACCAGUGCUGAAUCGACAGGUUUUUACUAAGUAAGCUUUUUAAUUUCGAAUUUAAAUGAUUUUAAAUAUGAAUUUUUGCAAACGUGCUUGUUUGAUUGAUUUGAUGCUUCCAUGUUGUAGAGCGUCUCCUGCCAUUCGUUUUCAUAUAUUAUAUGCCGAUUUUUGACUUCCGUAACAUAUAGAAAAGUUAGUUUGAUUCUUGAAGUUGUGUUCUUGGAGGUUAUGAAUGUUCUUAAUUGGAAAAGAGGCGUUUUUAAUCUGGGGAUUCUGCGUUGUAUUGGUUUAUACCAUUAGGAAGAGCGUGUCAAGAGGAAUAUGUUCAUAUAAUCGGAUUUUGUGGAGGAUUCACGGUUGAGCUUAUUGGAGUUUAAGAACACCGGCGGUGUUCUUGGACUUUCCGGCCAAAAUCCGGCCAAACUACAUGCUAUUUACUGAUUCUGAUUAUGGGUAUGGGUUCCUGGUAGUAUGAACUUUAAAUCUGGAGUUUAUGGGGUGUGUAGGACGUCGGAAAAUCGAUUUCCGGCGAGGUAGUAUGGUGGCCGACGGAUAAUUUCCGUUUGGUCACCAACGUUAUGAAGAUGAUGAAGGUUUGACACUGGAGUUUGAUUGUUGACAUUCUAGCUCUCGAACUUUUGAAAGUUUACACCUGGCACCCUGCCAGACAAUUUCAGUAUUUUUACAAUUUAAACCUUUUCAAAUUUAUUUCAAAAAUUCAUUUUAGUGAUUUAUUUUAAUUUCAAAAAUAGUUUCUAAUUACUUCUUUAUUCAAAAAUAAAUCUGAAAUUAGUUUAUUAAUUAAAUUUAAUUAGUAAUUAAUUAUUUUAAUUGGUCAAUUAAUUUUAAUAUUAAUUGAUGGAUUAUUUUAAUUAAUUAUUAAUUGAUUUUAAUUGAUUAAUUAAUUAGAUUUAAUGAUUUCUUUUGAUUUAAAAAUUUCGAGAAAUAGUUUCGAGCUUUGGAUUAUUUUUCUAAAAUAUGUUUGAGGCUCGUUAAAUGAUUUCAAAUGAUUUCGGAUCCGAUCUUGAGCAAUCGGAUUUGAUUAUUUAUUCAAAAAUGGAUUCUUUUACCUGUUUUAAUUCCGAAAAAUGUUUAGAAAUUCCAGAAAAUUCGCGAAAAAUCAUUUUUAACUUGAGACUUGAUUGGAUAUCGAUUGGGACGGGAAACCUUAUGUGCAAUGUGUUGUCUGCUGUCUGUGUGAUAUGUUAUGUGCCGAUAGGAGAGUUAGAAAACGGUUUUGAUCAUAUCUUUUGAUCCGUAAUUCAGAAUCAGGUGAAACGAAAGGGAGAUGAAAGCUUAUGGAAUCUAUUUUAAUAUGACAAGAUAAUAUGAUCGAGUCUAGAAUGUGAUUAUAUGUCAUGUAAUAUGCAAUAUGUGUCAAUAUGUGACUUGUCUGCUAUGAAUUGAUGAUUACGUGAUAUACGUGGCUAUUCCUAAUAUUAUACAUAUGUGAUAAAUGACUUAUAUGACAUAGUGUCGUGAAUUGAUUGAUAUUGGAUAAGAAUAUAUGGAUAGUGAUUGAAUUGUGUUGGUUGAUGGUUGAUUGAGAUAGGAUAACAGGUGGAUAGUCUUAUACAUAGACGAGACGAUGUCGGAUUUUCGAUAAAGAUUUAUAUGAUAAUUGAUUUGUGAUAUGUUAUGUGGAAUAUGAUUGACUAUAUGUUAGAGUCAAAGCAUGAUUAUGUGAUAAGUGAUAUCUAAUAGGUUUAAAGGGUUAUAUAAGGGGUAUCGAUAUACGUGAUGUGUAUGUACAAUAGAUUGUUUAGUAAUUAUAGUAUUGUCUUAUUCUCGUUAAGGAUUUGGACGAGACGUAUACGAUCGAAGACAUUCAGAAGGUCAAACGAUGAUGCAAAGCGAAUGAGAAAUGAAUCGAAGAGACGAAGUCGUAUUACGAAUAAAGUAUAGCCAGAGAUGGUCUAGAGACUAUGAUAUGCAUAGGUUGUGAGUUGGAAAGAUGAGAUUAAGCUGUGUGUGGAAGCGGAUUUAAGGCAAGUUUUCCUAAAUCUUUCCUCAUAUAUAUAUUGCAUGUUCUGAUUAUUCUGUCCAGAUUAUGGUAUUGCUUAUACUGAAACCCUUCUCAAAUAAACUCUUAUUUCUGAGAAUGAAACCCAUGAUUGUUUUCUACCUUUAAGUCUUUGAAAAGCCAAACACCUAAAUACUCUCAAUUUCUAUUACAAGUAUUCUGAUCCAUUCUUUCCAAUCCUCAAGAUUUUAAAAAUAUCAGCUUUACAAAUUAAUUCGAAGUUCAGACCGUCAUUGAAGCAUGGGUUGCUCAGUGAUAGUUAGAACCUAGAAUGAAUUGGGAUCUUCUUGAUUAUUCAACCCGCCAUUGUCAUGCUGGUUUAGCAGGCUAAAUUCAGUUGCUUAGCCGAUAAUGGAGGAUACUGAAUAGUUAGGAAUUUCCUGAACUAUGAUUUAUCAAAAGACAGACUGUGGUUUAUGAAAUGUUGAUCCUCAAAAGUUGAUUUGGAAUAUUUCUGUUGUUGAUAAUGAUUAUGAUUCUGUUCUGUUGAUUGAAUUGUCUAUUGAUUUAAAUUGUUAGAAUUGGAUUAGUUUUUAUAAAAUAUGUGGACCAGAUUCGUGGUCAGACCAGAUUCGUGGUCAAUUAUAGGCCAAUGUGUGCCUUGGAUCCAGUAUAGAGAACAGGGCUGUGUGCCAUGUUCGGGGUUAGUGCGUGACUGAUCAGCAGCCUAACCUUUGGUUUUUAAGUAAAAAUGUGAUGAAUCCAAUUCGACAAUUCUUCUGUAAGUUUGAAUUCUGAUUUCAAUUGCUGAUAAGAAUUGUGAAGUUUUCAAUUACAUAUCCUGAACCCUGAUAAGAUAAUUCAGGACUAUUGUUGCUUAUAUACGCUUGCUGAGCAUUGUUGCUCACCCUUGCUAUUCCUUUUUAACCAUUUCAGAAAAGCUUAAAGAUGAAUUGCUUGAUUGAGAUUGCGAGUAUGGCUAAGGCUAAGCGAGGAGUCAGAGUUAUAGAAUAUCCAGAGGACAAGUGGAAUGUCCAGGGAGAUUGUCAAGGUUGGUUCUAGAUAGAAUUGUAUUGAUGAGAUUCAGUUGUAAGUCAUAAUUGAAAUAGAUUGACAGUGAUUCUUCUUAUCGAAGAUGAUCUGAGGUUGUAAGACAUUGUUUAUUGAUAGUGGUUGAUUCUAAUUUCAAUACUGUAACCUGGAUGCGAUCCUGUUUUUAGGGGGUUAAAGUGUUUUCUUUUAAAUCUUUUACUAAAGUUUUCAGGUUUUAAAUCCUUUGAUUUUAUUACCUUUUUCAAAAAUACAGGUUUUCAAAAGUGUUUUAGAAUGAUUUUGUGUGGUGACGUCAGAAUCCAGACCCCCGGAUUCUCGGGCUGUCACAGUUGGUAUCAGAGCAACAGGUUAUAAGUUAUUGAAAUUAGAAUAUAGAUUGUGGUCAUAAGUUUUAUAGAGAAGAAGUUUUCAGUGACCUCAUAUAGAGGUAUUGUGAGACUGUUUGGGGAUAGUCUAGAGAGGUAAUCGGAAUAGAAUCUAGAUAGUUAAUUAAGUUGAGGGUAUAUGUUUAGAUAGAUCAUGGUUCAUAAGUCUAGAAACUUGGUUUCUAGUAUGGGGACUGAUUGAGAUAGUGAUUUGUGAUAAGGGUCAGAGUUAGACCUAGUCAAAAGAGUAUUAAUAGUGAGAUUGAGUUAAGAAUGAUAAAGAUGCAUGGUUUGAAAAUGGUUUAUUGUUUUAACUGAGAUGUGAAAGAAUGGGUGUAGAAUAUGAGAUAUGUUGGAUUGGAAAGAGAGUUUUGUAGACAGGUGAGAAAUGAAUGAUAGAAAGUAUGUGGAAUUGAGUCUAGUUAUCAGAAGUGAUAUUAUGAGUAGGAUAGGACGCUAGUCUUCAACGACGACGCUUCAAGCUAACCGGGAAUUCAUCUGAUUUCAAGAUGAGCCAGCUUCAUUGCGAAUGAUAAUGUCUACAAGGAAAUCUUACGAGGCUAUCACGAGUUAACAUGGAUCGAUUAUCGAGAACGCCGAGAAGAAGACAUACAUUGAACAACGAUUUAUUGGAGCAGAGCAAGAAUUUGAGAAGACCUUGGCAAUAUCUUUUUCCAACAAAAGCUUAUUUUAAUUCUUUUCAUCAUCAUUGAGCCCUUAUACCUUUCCUACAAAAGUUUUAAUAGAUGAGGUUUUCCAGUUCUCGAAUGACGAGAGAACAUUAGUAUUGAUUAUUGAAAUAAGUGGUAUUGAUUCUUGGUGUGUGAUAAAAGUUGUUGUGAGAAGACAAUGAUAUUUCUUGAUAUUCCUUGACAUUCCGUGAUAUUCUUUGAUAUACCUUGAUAUCUCUUGAUAUUCUUUGGUACUUUUUGAGAUUCCUUGAUAUUCCUUCCAUCUGAUUGGGAUGAACAACCCUAUUUAUAGGGGACACAAGGUAUACCUGUCUGUGUGAUAGGAAUUGGAUGGGACGCCAUCACUUGUGUGUGUUGUGAUUACAAGAAGGUUAACAACCUUUAGUAGUGUCUAAUAUGGGCACGCAACACUAAGUUCGUUUGGUCAUAUUGAUCUCUCAGUCACUUUCUUAUUUAAACAUGACCUAUUCUGAAAACCUUUUGCUCCAUUCUAAGUUCUUAAAGAUUGAAUCUAAGAACUGAGCUCUGAAAUAGUGAAAGUUUUAAUACUCUUAUUUGUUUCAAAGUCAAAGGUAUGCCAAGGUCGAACGAAGGUGGAAGGAUGAUAGUACGAAGGGUGUACAUUUUCGUUCUCUUCGCGGAUUCUGAGGACAGAAUCCUUAUAAGGAGGGUAGAUUGUAACAUCCCAGAUUUUCAGAAUUAGUUUAUUAAUAUAGAAAUAAUUUUUGAAUAUUACUAUUGGCUUUAAUUGAUUUCUUCUGAUAAGAUGAACGGUCUGUGUAAUAUGAGUAUAAUUGUGAUGUGAAUUAUAAGGUUUAAACCGACUAUGCAUUCUUCUCCUGUGAUUUCGUAUAUUUUUACGACCCGGAUUUUUCAAAAAUUGUGUAUCGUUAUGAAAGUUAUUUUCUUAGAAAGAAGGAAUAAAGUUUAAUAUUUUAUUCCAGUUUAAGGUAUUUUCAAAAUUUUAUUUUAUAUAAUUGAUUUUAAAGAUUUAAAGGAUGGCUAUCGUUACAUGGCUAAGUGUUGCAUGUGGAAUUGUGAGUUUAAUUAGUUAUGAUAAUUAAAUGUGAAUAUUGCAUGAAUUUGGUGUGAAUUGAUUUUCUGUAAUUGGUAAUUAUACGUGCCAGAACUGUGGGUUCAAUUAUUGAUAUUAUCAGAAUGAGUCAUAUGUUAUUUAAAUAUUUUCAAAUGAUUUAUAUACGGAUAUAUGAAUAUCCUUUCAAAACUCAUUUCAAAUAUUAUUUCUGAAAAUACAGAGAUUUGUUAUGCAAAAGUUAGAUGGUCGAUAUGUGAAGAUAUGUAUUACAUGAUUAAGUGUUACGUGUGUAAUGGUCGCGUAAUUAGUUAUGGUUAUUUUUGAAUAUUAUAUGAAUAUUUGGUAAAUUCUUUGAUAACUAGUUUUUUUAUUUUGAUUGCUUAUAUAUGUUGCAAUCACGAGUUUUCAAUUUUCAUAUUCUCAGAAUAGAAUAUGGAACAUUUGGGUAUUUCCCUAAUAAUUUAUGAGUAGUAUGUGAUAUUUAUAUGAAUAUUUGUGAGGUUUGUGUUAUCUGAGUUAUUGAAUUGACUGCUCAUAUGUGUUCGGAUUUGAGAUAUUUCAAUUUCUAUAUGAUCAGAAUAAAAUCUAGUUUAUUUAGAUAUGUUCAUAUCGAUUUUUGGAUUGCUAUGUGAUUUUAUAAUCGAUUUAUGGAUUUAAUUUCGUUUAAUUAUUAAUUAUAUUAAAAUAUUUAUUUAAUAUUUUAAACCCCGCGGGCGUUCGGGGAAAAAUUCGCCAUUAGGCUAUUUGGGACAUUCUGAGCAUUUCUCGUGUUUUAACUUUUUCAAUCCGGAGUACGGUUUACCCCGUAAAUGGUCCGGUACAAUUUUGUUAAUAUUUUUAAGGUUAAUGAUUAUCUGGUUGUAUAAAAAUACGUGAAGCAUAUUCCAGAGAAUAUUCCAAAGCAUAUUCAAGGAAUAUUCCAAAGCAUAUUCGAGGAAUAUUCUCUUAUCUUCUUCUAUAAAUAUCCUUUACCAGUUUAUUUCGCACGUACAAUCAUUUCGCCAGUUCUCUGCACGAAUACCGAGAGAAAACGAACGGGUGUUCUUCGUGUUCUUCAUAAUCAAACAAGGAUUUGAAGGCGUUAUUGGAAUCCGAUGGAGGCGUAUAAAUAGUCAAAACGAAGCUCUCGACGCGUAGAAUCUAUUGUAGUUAUCCAUACCAGUGCUGAAUCGACAGGUUUUUACUAAGUAAGCUUUUUAAUUUCGAAUUUAAAUGAUUUUAAAUAUGAAUUUUUGCAAACGUGCUUGUUUGAUUGAUUUGAUGCUUCCAUGUUGUAGAGCGUCUCCUGCCAUUCGUUUUCAUAUAUUAUAUGCCGAUUUUUGACUUCCGUAACAUAUAGAAAAGUUAGUUUGAUUCUUGAAGUUGUGUUCUUGGAGGUUAUGAAUGUUCUUAAUUGGAAAAGAGGCGUUUUUAAUCUGGGGAUUCUGCGUUGUAUUGGUUUAUACCAUUAGGAAGAGCGUGUCAAGAGGAAUAUGUUCAUAUAAUCGGAUUUUGUGGAGGAUUCACGGUUGAGCUUAUUGGAGUUUAAGAACACCGGCGGUGUUCUUGGACUUUCCGGCCAAAAUCCGGCCAAACUACAUGCUAUUUACUGAUUCUGAUUAUGGGUAUGGGUUCCUGGUAGUAUGAACUUUAAAUCUGGAGUUUAUGGGGUGUGUAGGACGUCGGAAAAUCGAUUUCCGGCGAGGUAGUAUGGUGGCCGACGGAUAAUUUCCGUUUGGUCACCAACGUUAUGAAGAUGAUGAAGGUUUGACACUGGAGUUUGAUUGUUGACAUUCUAGCUCUCGAACUUUUGAAAGUUUACACCUGGCACCCUGCCAGACAAUUUCAGUAUUUUUACAAUUUAAACCUUUUCAAAUUUAUUUCAAAAAUUCAUUUUAGUGAUUUAUUUUAAUUUCAAAAAUAGUUUCUAAUUACUUCUUUAUUCAAAAAUAAAUCUGAAAUUAGUUUAUUAAUUAAAUUUAAUUAGUAAUUAAUUAUUUUAAUUGGUCAAUUAAUUUUAAUAUUAAUUGAUGGAUUAUUUUAAUUAAUUAUUAAUUGAUUUUAAUUGAUUAAUUAAUUAGAUUUAAUGAUUUCUUUUGAUUUAAAAAUUUCGAGAAAUAGUUUCGAGCUUUGGAUUAUUUUUCUAAAAUAUGUUUGAGGCUCGUUAAAUGAUUUCAAAUGAUUUCGGAUCCGAUCUUGAGCAAUCGGAUUUGAUUAUUUAUUCAAAAAUGGAUUCUUUUACCUGUUUUAAUUCCGAAAAAUGUUUAGAAAUUCCAGAAAAUUCGCGAAAAAUCAUUUUUAACUUGAGACUUGAUUGGAUAUCGAUUGGGACGGGAAACCUUAUGUGCAAUGUGUUGUCUGCUGUCUGUGUGAUAUGUUAUGUGCCGAUAGGAGAGUUAGAAAACGGUUUUGAUCAUAUCUUUUGAUCCGUAAUUCAGAAUCAGGUGAAACGAAAGGGAGAUGAAAGCUUAUGGAAUCUAUUUUAAUAUGACAAGAUAAUAUGAUCGAGUCUAGAAUGUGAUUAUAUGUCAUGUAAUAUGCAAUAUGUGUCAAUAUGUGACUUGUCUGCUAUGAAUUGAUGAUUACGUGAUAUACGUGGCUAUUCCUAAUAUUAUACAUAUGUGAUAAAUGACUUAUAUGACAUAGUGUCAUGAAUUGAUUGAUAUUGGAUAAGAAUAUAUGGAUAGUGAUUGAAUUGUGUUGGUUGAUGGUUGAUUGAGAUAGGAUAACAGGUGGAUAGUCUUAUACAUAGACGAGACGAUGUCGGAUUUUCGAUAAAGAUUUAUAUGAUAAUUGAUUUGUGAUAUGUUAUGUGGAAUAUGAUUGACUAUAUGUUAGAGUCAAAGCAUGAUUAUGUGAUAAGUGAUAUCUAAUAGGUUUAAAGGGUUAUAUAAGGGGGUAUCGAUAUACGUGAUGUGUAUGUACAAUAGAUUGUUUAGUGAUUAUAGUAUUGUCUUAUUCUCGUUAAGGAUUUGGACGAGACGUAUACGAUCGAAGACAUUCAGAAGGUCAAACGAUGAUGCAAAGCGAAUGAGAAAUGAAUCGAAGAGACGAAGUCGUAUUACGAAUAAAGUAUAGCCAGAGAUGGUCUAGAGACUAUGAUAUGCAUAGGUUGUGAGUUGGAAAGAUGAGAUUAAGCUGUGUGUGGAAGCGGAUUUAAGGCAAGUUUUCCUAAAUCUUUCCUCAUAUAUAUAUUGCAUGUUCUGAUUAUUCUGUCCAGAUUAUGGUAUUGCUUAUACUGAAACCCUUCUCAAAUAAACUUUUAUUUCUGAGAAUGAAACCCAUGAUUGUUUUCUACCUUUAAGUCUUUGAAAAGCCAAACACCCAAAUACUCUCAAUUUCUAUUACAAGUAUUCUGAUCCAUUCUUUCCAAUCCUCGAGAUUUUAAAAAUAUCAGCUUUACAAAUUAAUUCGAAGUUCAGACCGUCAUUGAAGCAUGGGUUGCUCAGUGAUAGUUAGAACCUAGAAUGAGUUGGGAUCUUCUUGAUUAUUCAACCCGCCAUUGUCAUGCUGGUUUAGCAGGCUAAAUUCAGUUGCUUAGCCGAUAAUGGAGGAUACUGAAUAGUUAGGAAUUUCCUGAACUAUGAUUUAUCAAAAGACAGACUGUGGUUUAUGAAAUGUUGAUCCUCAAAAGUUGAUUUGGAAUAUUUCUGUUGUUGAUAAUGAUUAUGAUUCUGUUCUGUUGAUUGAAUUGUCUAUUGAUUUAAAUUGUUAGAAUUGGAUUAGUUUUUAUAAAAUAUGUGGACCAGAUUCGUGGUCAGACCAGAUUCGUGGUCAAUUAUAGGCCAAUGUGUGCCUUGGAUCCAGUAUAGAGA
rnacentral:lncRNA from 1 species